ACUAUAUUUGGAAUUACUUUCUUGUGGUAACAGGCUUUUCUCUCAAUUUCCCAUUCAUUGUUUUUGAAAUCUCAGUAAAACAAAAACAAAACCAAGCCACCUGAUGACACUAAAAUGUUGGCUGAUUAUCCAGAUGUGUUCAAACCAGUGCCUGAGGAGCUGGACCUUUUUCUGCUGAAAGAAGCAAAAUGAGCCUUUUCUAGCUCAUACUGUAGUCAGAACUUGGGAACAUUCUAGCAGAGCUUUUCACUGAGUCAGGGUCUAGUCAGUGCAAUAUCUGGAUACAGAAACUGCCCAAUAUUUCCUUCAAGUGACUCCUCCCCAUGAAACUCUCAAGGAGGUCCACAUCUCGAUGUCAAAUUCCUGCAUGGGGAGCAGCAGAAGCAUUGGGCAGUCCCAUGGAAAUGGCUACUGAGGCUCCCAGAGACAGCACCUAUAUUUGUGACCCAGGACAACAGUGAUGGACCUACAGGGGUCCCAGCCUGAUUUUCCUGCUCUGGGUUCAUCCACAUUGCCUGCUUGACCAGCUCUGGGCUCCAGGCUGAGGACAAAUGUGAUUAUAAGCAUCGCACAGCGGCAUCCAGACUCCAUCUCACCAAAAGCUCCUGAUCCGUGGAGAAGCGAGAGAAAGAUUUGUCCUCAACUCCUCCUGUCUUCCCCAUCCCUCCUUUAUCCCUGCCUGUUGCCAACUCCAGUUCACGCCAAGGCUUCUGCUGUCACUUGUGUUACUGAAAGUGGAGCAUCAGUUCAAUGAAAAGAACUCGUUUGCUUACUGGUGCUCCAAUGCAAACAGAAUCGAUUUGUUUCUAGAAGCAAAAGGAGCAGGCCACACAUGGUGUGGAUGAGGUGGGGGUGACAAGAAAGAAGAAUCCAGCCUGUGUGACCCAGAGACCCAGGUGCCCCUGCCUGGCCCUAUAGGUGUCUUCUGUUGGCACAGGCAUGGUGGCCAUUUCCUGAGCUCUGAGACUGCUUGAGAGAUGACAAGAAAGGAGAACCCAUCCUGUGUGACCCAGAGACCCAUAUGUGAGAAUGAAAGUCCAAUACUUAAGGAAACAUGGAAUCAGCAUUCUGAAAGCUCUGGCUCUGUCUUGGCCUUUGGCUGAUGUAGAAGAGAAGCAAGAGAGAUGCUCAGCCUUGGGUGGCCCAGGCACAACUGUCCUGAAAAGGGUCUGAGCUCUCUGCAACGUGGGCUUUCUGCAAUAAUAUGCUUAUGGAGGCUGCAAUCCAAGUAUGAUGCAAAAGAAGCUAUUUAAAGUGACCAGGGGAUGGUUUACGGGGGAAUGAGGCAAAAGGUGUGGGGUCAGAUGUGGUAAGGAGGGUGCAGCCUGGAGAAGAGCUCGUCUUUGGGAGCCUUAUGAGGAGGAGUCCCAAGGCCCAGAGCAGUGACAAAUAGAAGACGUGGAAGGAUCUGGGCCGUGGAGACACAGACGUACAGGGGCUUGGUCUGUUCUGGAGGGUCCCUGAAGAGGAUGACAUUAAAACACUAUGGUCAGUG